UUAUGUAGAAAAAAAAUGUAAAAAAUGUAUCUGAAAAAACUGUUGCAUCAUGCUGUUUCCAAUUAAAGCAAUUAUUGAGUGUAAACUGGUGAACAUGUUUACUUAGUGGGUGUCAGGAGGAUUUUCACUUCCAAAAGUACA